ACCAAUACCAAUACCAACAUGGAGAGGAAAUCACUGGGCCUUUUCGUCUUGCUUCUUAUUGCCUUUGCCACUCAUAGAGCGAAAGAGGAAUUUCAACACGAAUACCAAUACCAAUACCAACAUGGAGAGGAAAUCGCUGGGCCUUUUCGUCUUGCUUCUUAUUGCCUUCGCCACUCAUCAGAUGGUGGUGCCGGCGGAGGGGAAAGUGUGCGAGGCACCUAGCGGCAAAUUCCAUGGGCUAUGCUUCCUUGAAAAGAACUGCUAUGAUGUGUGCACGAAGAAGGAACAUCUUCUGAGCGGCUUUUGCAGAAAUGGGAUGUGUUACUGCAGGAGGAAUUGCUAAUUAAUUAUUAAGAAGAUGGAUCCCACUCCCACUCUCCACUAUCCACUGCAUGUUCAUGUAAUAAAGGCCGUUUUGUAGGUUGCUUAUACUCAAGUCGGCCGCUGUCAUAUUUAACUGAUGGUUAAAUAAAGCGAGAUGGGAUCUUUGUCCUGUUUAAGUUAA